CACGGAUGGUCAUUGGAAAAUCAAAGUUCAGGACCGCCGCUUAAAGAAAUGUGUUGACAAUGUAUGCAAUUGGAAGAGUAUGUUAAAACACUGGGGCGAGUCGAAUUGGACUAAUGAUGAAUUCUUUAACCCAUCGCCACCAGCUAUCAGCACAGCAUCUCUUCCUGGCUUGUGAGUUAUUAAUUCCCAUUAGGCUCGCCAUAUUGAUAUGCCUCUUUAGUCAAAUGAAACAGAAUACGGAUGAUGUGAUUCUUUGUUUUUUCCCCUUUUCAAGCAUAAAUUUUCUAGACCGCUCUCUGUUUCGAGAUAGAAUACCCCAUUGAUGUUUCUU
rnacentral:lncRNA from 1 species